rnacentral:rRNA from 1 species
GCUACGGGAGGCAGCAGUGAGGAAUAUUGGUCAAUGGACGAGAGUCUGAACCAGCCAAGUAGCGUGAAGGAUGACUGCCCUAUGGGUUGUAAACCUCUUUUAUAAGGGAAUAAAACGAGGCACGUGUGCCUUUUUGCAUGUACUUCAUGAAUAAGGAUCGGCUAAUUCCGUGCCAGCAGCCGCGGUAAUACGGAGGAUCCGGGCGUUAUCCGGAUUUAUUGGGUUUAAAGGGAGCGUAGGCGGGUUGUUAAGUCAGUUGUGAAAGUUUGUGGGUCAACCGUGAGAUUGCAGUGGAUACUGGCAGUCUUGAGUGCGAUGGAGGUAGGCGGAAUUCGUGGUGUAGCGGUGAAAUGCUUAGAUAUCACGAAGAACCCCGAUUGCGAAGGCAGCUUGCUGAACUGUGACUGACGUUGAUGCUCGAAAGUGUGGGUAUCGAACAGGAUUAGAUACCCUUGUAGUC